UACGUAGGGAGCAAGCGUUGUUCGGAAUUACUGGGCGUAAAGCGUGCGCAGGCGGUUUUGUAAGCCAGAUGUGAAAUCCCCGGGCUUAACCUGGGAAUGGCAUUUGGGACUGCAAGGCUUGAGUGCGGCAGAGGAGACUGGAAUUCCUGGUGUAGCGGUGAAAUGCGCAGAUAUCAGGAGGAACACCGGUGGCGAAGGCGGGUCUCUGGGCCGAUACUGACGCUGAGGAGCGAAAGCGUGGGGAGCGAACAGG
rnacentral:rRNA from 1 species